CGUCUAAUGAGACUGCCGGUGACAAACCGGAGGAAGGUGGGGAUGACGUCAAGUCCUCAUGGCCCUUAUGGGUAGGGCUUCACACGUCAUACAAUGGUCGGUACAGAGGGUUGCCAACCCGCGAGGGGGAGCUAAUCCCACAAAGCCGAUCGUAGUCCGGAUCGCAGUCUGCAACUCGACUGCGUGAAGUCGGAAUCGCUAGUAAUCGUGGAUCAGCAUGUCACGGUGAAUACGUUCCCGGGUCUU
rnacentral:rRNA from 1 species